GACGAACGCUGGCGGCGUGCCUAAUACAUGCAAGUCGAACGAACUCUGGUAUUGAUUGGUGCUUGCAUCAUGAUUUACAUUUGAGUGAGUGGCGAACUGGUGAGUAACACGUGGGAAACCUGCCCAGAAGCGGGGGAUAACACCUGGAAACAGAUGCUAAUACCGCAUAACAACUUGGACCGCAUGGUCCGAGCUUGAAAGAUGGCUUCAGCUAUCACUUUUGGAUGGUCCCGCGGCGUAUUAGCUAGAUGGUGGGGUAACGGCUCACCAUGGCAAUGAUACGUAGCCGACCUGAGAGGGUAAUCGGCCACAUUGGGACUGAGACACGGCCCAAACUCCUACGGGAGGCAGCAGUAGGGAAUCUUCCACAAUGGACGAAAGUCUGAUGGAGCAACGCCGCGUGAGUGAAGAAGGGUUUCGGCUCGUAAAACUCUGUUGUUAAAGAAGAACAUAUCUGAGAGUAACUGUUCAGGUAUUGACGGUAUUUAACCAGAAAGCCACGGCUAACUACGUGCCAGCAGCCGCGGUAAUACGUAGGUGGCAAGCGUUGUCCGGAUUUAUUGGGCGUAAAGCGAGCGCAGGCGGUUUUUUAAGUCUGAUGUGAAAGCCUUCGGCUCAACCGAAGAAGUGCAACGGAAACUGGGAGACUUGAGUGCAGAAGAGGACAGUGGAAACUCCAUGUGUAGCGGUGAAAUGCGUAGAUAUAUGGAAGAACACCAGUGGCGAAGGCGGCUGUCUGGUCUGUAACUGACGCUGAGGCUCGAAAGUAUGGGUAGCAAACAGGAUUAGAUACCCUGGUAGUCCAUACCGUAAACGAUGAAUGCUAAGUGUUGGAGGGUUUCCGCCUUUCAGUGCUGCAGCUAACGCAUUAAGCAUUCCGCCUGGGGAGUACGCCCGCAAGGCUGAAACUCAAAGGAAUUGACGGGGGCCCGCACAAGCGGUGGAGCAUGUGGUUUAAUUCGAAGCUACGCGAAGAACCUUACCAGGUCUUGACAUACUAUGCAAAUCUAAGAGAUUAGACGUUCCCUUCGGGGACAUGGAUACAGGUGGUGCAUGGUUGUCGUCAGCUCGUGUCGUGAGAUGUUGGGUUAAGUCCCGCAACGAGCGCAACCCUUAUUAUCAGUUGCCAGCAUUAAGUUGGGCACUCUGGUGAGACUGCCGGUGACAAACCGGAGGAAGGUGGGGAUGACGUCAAAUCAUCAUGCCCCUUAUGACCUGGGCUACACACGUGCUACAAUGGAUGGUACAACGAGUUGCGAACUCGCGAGAGUAAGCUAAUCUCUUAAAGCCAUUCUCAGUUCGGAUUGUAGGCUGCAACUCGCCUACAUGAAGUCGGAAUCGCUAGUAAUCGCGGAUCAGCAUGCCGCGGUGAAUACGUUCCCGGGCCUUGUACACACCGCCCGUCACACCAUGAGAGUUUGUAACACCCAAAGUCGGUGGGGUAACCUUUUAGGAACCAGCCGCCUAAGGUGGGACAGAUGAUUAGGGUG
rnacentral:rRNA from 1 species